rnacentral:rRNA from 1 species
GAUGAAGGCUGGCGGCGUGCCUAAUACAUGCAAGUCGAGCGAACAGACGAGGAGCUUGCUCCUUUGACGUUAGCGGCGGACGGGUGAGUAACACGUAGGUAACCUACCUAUAAGACUGGGAUAACUUCGGGAAACCGGAGCUAAUACCGGAUAAUAUUUCGAACCGCAUGGUUCUAUAGUGAAAGAUGGCUUUGCUAUCACUUAUAGAUGGACCUGCGCCGUAUUAGCUAGUUGGUAAGGUAACGGCUUACCAAGGCAACGAUACGUAGCCGACCUGAGAGGGUGAUCGGCCACACUGGAACUGAGACACGGUCCAGACUCCUACGGGAGGCAGCAGUAGGGAAUCUUCCGCAAUGGGCGAAAGCCUGACGGAGCAACGCCGCGUGAGUGAUGAAGGUCUUCGGAUCGUAAAACUCUGUUAUUAGGGAAGAACAAACGUGUAAGUAACUGUGCACGUCUUGACGGUACCUAAUCAGAAAGCCACGGCUAACUACGUG